AUAAUACUUUUGCUUGCACUUCACAACAAACAUAUUUAACUCUGACUUUUGUAAUAAUCUCAAGGACAACCUUUCACAGAACUCUGCUGUUGUGCUCAUUAACUACUCAUUUACAGUUGCUUAAAUGUCUGUCUUUCUUUGUUACCGUUUUGCAGUCUGGGGUUCUUUUAAAUCAUAUUUGUGUGUUAAUGGACACUGGUGAGCAGAAGGCCUGCUGUCUUAAAUCUGACGGAGAAAGAGAGAGUUGUCUCAAUGAUUUAGCAUACAUGGAAUCCAAGUCUUUAUCUGCUGUGUCUCUGGAACCAAAUGUAAUAUGUCGGCUUUGCAGAGAAUCAAAAUUAUUGAUUUGGUAAGAUUUUUAUUGACCUUUAUUUAUAUAAUUGUUUAUACUCCCUAUAGUAUUAAGCUCUGAUGUUUUAUUAUUUUUCUCUAUGCAUAUUGGCAGCAUAAAAAGAGGCAUCAGUCAUCUACUCAUAUCUCUUGCUGCUAUAAUACCUCCAUACAGUUACAAAACAAAUCUUGUGAAUACUUUACCAGCAUUUUUGAAUUGAUUGCAAAUAAAACAUGGUCUUAUCUUUAUCCAAGUCAUAAUUAUAGACAAGCACAGUCUGACUAAACUAAUAACACACAAAAAACUGUACUUUUCAUUUUUUUAAUGAACACAUUGAUACAUCAUUCAUAGUACUGACAUGACUUCAACUCACAUAAACAUUAAAAGUCAUAACCAUACUCUGCUCAUUGGAUUCUCUCCACUUCUCCUGACAGAAUCCAGGAGGUACAGUGCCUUGCAAAAGUAUUCACCUCCCCUUGACUUUUUACCUAUUUUGUUACAUUACAGCCUUAAAUUCAAUGUUUUAUUAAUCUGAAUUUUAUGUGAUGGAUCAGAACACAAUAGUCUAAGUUGGUGAAGUGAAAUGAGAAAAAUAUAUACAUAAAACUAUUUUUUAGAAAUAGAAAACAGAAAAUUGGCAUGUGCGUAUGUAUUCACCCCCUUUGUUAUAAAGCCUGUGACGAAACGCCUUUUGUCACCAGAUUUUCCCCUGGCUGUUGGAGGAGCCUGAUUGCCAGCCUCUUGCCUCAUGACUAUGGCCCUGGGUUAUUUGGCCCUUCAAGUACAAUAUUUGGGCCUAUUGGAUUUGUAUGGUGCAGCUGCUGGCCCUUUAAAAACCAUCCCUGGACAUAUUAUGACUUUUAGACACAAUGUCCCUUUAAGACUGUGUAGCAGAUUGCAUUCAGGCAGUCUGCAAUAUUAUAUAUGCUAUUAUGUGUUCGGUAAAUUGGAAAUGUGUAGGUUCUAUGUGAUAAAUGUAACAGUAUGUAUUUUUAUGUCUUUUGUUGCCCUUUGUCUGCCAUGUGGCUAAUGGAGUUUUGCCUCUGUCCUUGGAGAUAAUUGCAUUACUUCUCAAUUAUCUCCAGAAUAGAAGACUCUGAAACCAGUUUGGGCCAGAUAUCCAUGCUGCCAGCCAGGCCCCAAAAGAUACUUGUGCUAACUUCUGAACCCCUGGUCUGAUUGAGGCCAUUUUUUAAUAUGUUGUUCCCCUGAAUGGAUUGAUUGUGAAUAUGUAGUUUUAUGUGAAUGUGAUGUAUAGUUUUAGAGUUAUGAAAGUUGGGUAAAAAGUGUGUUUUAAAAUGUAUGGAUAAUUGGGUUACCUCUCAGGCUAAGGGGAGGAGAUGUGUGGGAUGUAACCAUUGUGUGAUUGGUUGUACUGUGUCCCACCCAGUGGGAUGUCCCCUUGCAUGGGGACCUGCAUAAAAGAAGGUUCUUUGUGUGCCAAUAAACAGAUCAUCUUGUACCUUCAUGAAGUUUCGGCUCAUGUUUGGGGGAUUGGAGAAACCACACUCUGGGGAUUGCUAUAAUCACUAUACUCCCCAGGGUAUAAUCACUAAGCUCUGCUAAGAGCUUGUUCCUGUUCCUGCUCUCUGGAAUUCGGAGAGAGGUCGACCUGCUGGAAGCUGGACCCUGGUCCUGGGUCCAGAGUGGGUGGAGACGGCGAGACCCCAACCAAGCUGCGGCGGUUCGUGGGGUCUGCGGUGGUUAUGGUGUCAGGCAGAGUGCUUGGAGUCCUCGGAAAGCACUAGGAGCAUCCGUCGGCGGAAGGUACCCGGUCGGGGUGCCAGCGGUUCCGUUACAUUGGUGGCAGCGGUGGGAUGGCGUCCUAGUGCGAGGUAAAGCAGCUCAGAGACACAGUUCGUUUGGAGUUACAAUUUGAGGGCAACGCUAGUAUUCGUACAGCGCCCCUGGUCACAGCAAACAUGACCUAUCGCUUUGAGGGCGACGCAUACCGGGACGAGGUCAUGAGACGGUUAACCAGAUAUGGCCCGAAUCCUUCAACAGAGGCAGUUCUGGCAAUCGUGCGCAAGUUGGAUGAGGAGAAUCGAGCGGCAUGGGAAUUUGAGCUCCGAUUUCGGAGAUUGGGGCUGUGGCCAAUUGGUCUCUCUCCCCAGUGGCAGACAGCAUCCCAGGGAGAGGAGAUUGUUGGUCCCUUGUCCCUGCAACAAAUAUCAUCACUGGGAGUCGAGACAGUCGGUCUGACUCCCCAGCGGCAGUGUGUUGUCAAGGGAGAAGAGACAACCGGUCUUUCUCCCCAGCGGCAGACCGCAUCCCAGGGAGAGGAGAUUGUCGGUCCCUUGUCCCUGCAACAACCAUCAUCACUGGGAGUCAACACAGUCGGUCUGACUCCCCAGCGGCAGUGUGUUGACAAGGGAGAAGAGACAACCGGUCUCUCUCCCCAGCGGCAGUGUGUACCCCAGGGAGCUGAAGGUGUCGUCCUUCCUCCCCAGCGGCAGUAUGUAUCCGAGGGAGCUGAAGGUACCGUCCUUCCUCCCCAGCGGCAGUGUGUACCCCAGGGAGCAGAAGGUGUCGUCCUUCCUCCCCAGCGGCAGUAUGUAUCCCAGGGAGCUGAAGGUGCCGUCCUUCCUCCCCAGCGGCAGUAUGUAUCCCAGGGAGCUGAAGGUGCCAUCCUUCCUCCCCAGCGGCAGUGUGUACCCCAGGGAGCAGAAGGUGCCAUCCUUCCUCCCCAGCGGCAGUGUGUACCCCAGGGAGCAGAAGGUGCCGUCCUUCCUCCCCAACGGCAGUAUGUAUCCCAGGGAGCUGAAGGUGCCAUCCUUCCUCCCCAGCAGCAGUGUGUAUCCCAGGGAGCUGAAGGUGCCGUCCUUCCUCCCCAGCGGCAGUGUGUACCCCAGGGAGCAGAAGGUGCCGUCCUUCCUCCCCAGCAGCAGUGUGUAUCCCAGGGAGCUGAAGGUGCUGUCCUUCCUUCCCAGUGGCAAUUUACCCCACAAAGAGGAGACACUAGUCUCCCAGAAGGUGCAGAGGAGACCGUGGUCUCUGCACCCGACUUACAGGGAUGUUGGACAGCCUGUCCAGAUCCCCAACUACCCUUGCAGGGACACCAGGAGGAGGGGGUAAGUACUAUUUCCCUUCCCCAGCCAAGGCCUAAGCCAGCUGCCCCAGCCGAAGCGCUGGCAUCGGGGCAGAGCGCAGUUGGCCUCUGCCCCCCAAGCACCCAAAGCGUGUUACCCAGUGACCUCAGAGGAAUACCCAGGUGCAGUAAAUGUGUGUUGUGGGUGGGCUACUCAUGUACUUGUUCACUGUGGGUGGGUUUAUCGACUAACUCAGGCACUGACCGACAGGUCAGGUACCUGGUUAGUCUCCCCCCAAAGGGGAGAUGUGUGACGAAACGCCUUUUGUCACCGGAUUUUCCCCUGGCUGUUGGAGGAGCCUGAUUGCCAGCCUCUUGCCUCAUGACUAUGGCCCUGGGUUAUUUGGCCCUUCAAGUACAAUAUUUGGGCAUAUUGGAUUUAUAUGGUGCUGCUGCUGGCCCUUUAAAAACCAUCCCUGGACAUAUUAUGACUUUUAGGAACAAUGUCCCUUUAAGACUGUGUAGCAGAUUGCAUUCAGGCGGUCUGCAAUAUUAUAUAUGCUAUUAUGUGUUCGGUAAAUUGGAAAUGUGUAGGUUCUAUGUGAUAAAUGUAACAGUAUGUAUUUUUAUGUCUUUUGUUGUCCUUUGUCUGCCAUGUGGCUAAUGGAGUUUUGCCUCUGUCCUUGGGAGAUAAUUGCAUUACUUCUCAAUUAUCUCCAGAAUAGAAGACUCUGAAACCAGUUUGGGCCAGAUAUCCAUGCUGCCAGCCAGGCCCCAAAAGAUACUUGUGCUAACUUCUGAACCCCUGGUCUGAUUGAGGCCAUUUUUUAAUAUGUUGUUCCCCUGAAUGGAUUGAUUGUGAAUAUGUAGUUUUAUGUGAAUGUGAUGUAUAGUUUUAGAGUUAUGAAUGUUGGGUAAAAAGUGUGUUUUAAAAUGUAUGGAUAAUUGGGUUACCUCUCAGGCUAAGGGAAGGAGAUGUGUGGGAUGUAACCAUUGUGUGAUUGGUUGUACUGUGUCCCACCCAGUGGGAUUUCCCCUUGCAUGGGGACCUGCAUAAAAGAAGGUUCUUUGUGUGCCAAUAAACAGAUCAUCUUGUACCUUCAUGAAGUUUCGGCUCAUGUUUGGGGGAUUGGAGAAACUACACUCUGGGGAUUGCUAUAAUCACUAUACUCCCCAGGGUAUAAACACUAAGCUCUGCUAAGAGCUUGUUCCUGUUCCUGCUCUCUGGAAUUGGGAGAGAGGUCGACCUGUUGGAAGCUGGACCCUGGUCCUGGGUCCAGAGUGGGUGGAGACGGCGAGACCCCAACCAAGCUGCGGCGGUUCGUGGGGUCUGCAGUGGUUAUGGUGUCAGGCAGAGUGCUUGGAGUCCUCAGAAAGCACUAGGAGCAUCCGUCGGCGGAAGGUACCCGGUCGGGGUGCCAGCAGUUCCGUUACAAAGCCCAUAAAAAGUUCUGGUGCAACCAAUUACCUUCAGAAGUCACAUAAUUGGUGAAAUGAUGUCCACCUGUGUGCAAUCUAAGUGUCACAUGAUCUGUCAUUACAUAUACACACCUUUUUUGAAAGGUUCCAGAGGCUGCAACACCUAAGCAAGAGGCACCACUAACCAAACACUGCCAUGAAGACCAAGGAACUCUCCAAACAAGUAAGGUACAAUGUUACGAGUCAGGGUUAGGUUAUAAAAAAAUAUCCAAAUCUUUGAUGAUUCCAUAGCUCAGUGCGCUGGCAAUUUCUAAACCUGUCACAACCCUAAUUAAUCCUUGGUCUCUGGGUACAUACCCAAACUUUGGAAGACUGCAAGAGUAGUGCCUAUCCAUAAAAGUGGUGACACUACUUUGGUUUCUAACUAUUGCCCAAUAUCAUUGCUCCCAGUAUUGUCAAAAAUCUAGAGACAAAUGUGUCCAUACGCAACUAUGUGAGUAUUACAAACAAUCAAACUAUCUGACCCCUGAUCAAUCAGGCUUUCGCCCGAAUCAGUCAACUAGAACUGCCUUCUUAAAAGUUUGCAAUGACAUCCAAACUGGCAUGGAACAAAGAGACCUAACUGGAGCUAAUUUCCUUGAUUUCGCAAAGGCCUUUGACACAGUAGACCAUGACAUUCUACUGCACAAACUAAAAAAAAUUCAGGUAUUGGUGAUCGUCCACUAACCUGGUUUUGAUCAUAUGUAUCGGAUCGAUCGCAAUAUGUGGCCAUUUCUGGCAGUGACUCCCUUCGUCUCCCAGUCAUGUGUGGUGUUCCCCAAGGUUCCAUUCUCAACCCCCUACUAUUCACAUUAUUUAUAAAUGAUCUGCCUAAUAUCUGCAAAUCCUCAAAUGUACACAUGUACGGAGAUGACACAGUAAUCUAAGCAAUCUACCGCAGUUUGAGGCUGUGCUCCAAGACCAAGACAGAGGUAGAAAAGCGGAUCACAAAAUAUAAACUCUUCCUAAACACUGACAAAACUGUCACAAUGAUCUUUGGAACAGUACCUAAAUUACGCAAAUUACAAAAUUCCCAUCUGUGCAUCAAAGCAAAAUCAAAUAGUACACUGACCGCAUUCCACUUUUUCAAAUACUUGGGUAUGUUGUUAGACCCCAAUCUAUCAUUUGGCCUCCACAUCGAAAAACUUGCAUCAAAACUUUACCUCUACUAGGUGCCCUGUAGAGAAACAAAUCCUGCCUAAGCCCUACAGUAAAGGAAAAGAUUGUACAGCAAAUGCUGAUUCCAAUCAUUGAUUAUGGGGAUGUUGUAUAUGCACCUACACCACAAACUCGCCUAAAUAAGCUUAAUACAUUGUAUAACUCGUUCUGCUGUUUUGUGCUACAAUUACAUGACCCACCAUCGUGACAUGUUAAAAGAACUAAACUGGCUGUCACUUGAAAUUCAGAAGCACCCUUCAUCUUUUCAGCCUUGUGUUUAAGAGCUUUUCUGGGAAGCGCCCACCCAACCUGAGCAGAAUGCUCUCCCCGGCUAUUCCCACCUCUUACAACCUACGAUCCAGUACCAGCACUUUAUUUAGUCUACCUCAAUACAAAAAGAAAGCGGCUCGAUCCUCCUUUUCCUACAGAGCACCGCAUUUAUGGAGCGACUUCCUUCACACUUUCAAAUCUUCCCCAAGCCUAAAAUCCUUUAAGAGAUCCAUCUCUACAUAUCUCAAAACAGAAUGCACCUGUCAUGGUUGAUUAUAUGUUUCUUACCUGUUCUAUGUUAAAUUUUGUAUAUAUUGUGUAUUAAUAUUGUGUUUGUAUUUUAUUGAACCCUAUUUAGUGAUGCCACGAACGGUUCGCCACGAACGGUUCGCCACGGACUCAUCAUUGAGUAAACUUUGACCCUGUACCUCACAGUCAGCAGACACAUUCCAGCCAAUCAGCGGCAGACCCUCCCUCCCAGACCCUCCCACCUCCUGGACAGCAUCCAUUUUACAUUCAUUGUGAAGCUGCAUUCUUAGUGAGCUGUCCAGGAGGUGGGAGGGUCUGGGAGGGAGGGUCUGCGGCUGAUUGGCUGGAAUGUGUCUGCUGACUGUGAGGUACAGGGUCAAAGUUUACUCAAUGAUAAGUCCGUGGCGAACCGUUCGUGGCGAAUCGUUCGGCGAACCGUUCGGGACAUCACUAACCCUAUUGUAUUAAUAUUUUGUGAACCCGGGACAUAGUUGAAAAUGAAAAAAAUCUCAAUGUAUCCUUCCUGGUAAAAUAUUUUAUAAAUAAAAUAAAUAAUAAUAAAUAUGUCCACAAGAUAUAUGUUGAGCUACUAUCCUUUGUAGUUGGGGUUCUAUUGUUUGGAUUGAGAGGGAUCCCUAUUGUAUCCUCCUGAGACCCAGCCCAUUAACUUAUGUCCUCUGUAUGACAUUUUGUUCACAUGCAUCUCCUUUUAUUCAUUUGAGCUACUCUGUCAAUCCCUACUGUAUUGUAAAGAGGACAUCCUGGGCUUUCCGGUUAUAUGUCAUGUGAUAGGCAGGGAUGCUGGGAACUUCCUCUUCCUUUUCAUAUAAAAUGGAUGGCAUAUUGGAAGACAAUUUUUCCUCGGUACCCAGGAGGGUAUAGUAGCUGUUGUUGAUGUUAGAAGAUGACAAGUGCUUGAUUUCUUUUUUGUUUAUUUUAAUUAGAACAUUUUUAGUUUAUUAAAAACAUUUUAUGAUGGUAGGAUGAACUAAUAAUGCAUUUUACAAUAUAUUAGUUCCAAAAUUAUAAUACUUCUAUAUUUCCCUUUGAAGACAUAUAACUUUUAGUUAGUUUAGUUACAGAAAUACAGUGUGCUAUAUUAGAAAUAUUAUGGUAUACACUUACGCUGUCCAAGUGUAAAUCAAAGUGCUUUUAAAGAGACACUCUCGGCACCAUAGCAAAAUUAAGUUGUUAUGGUACCAGGAGGUCCCCGGGCACUCUCUUCCAUGAAGGUGUUUGUCUGUUCUCAAAAGGAUUCCUCCAGUGCUUAAUCUAUCUCCAAUUCCUCUAGUGACAUCUGGCUUUGCAAUUGACUUUCAGGAAGCAUGGAGUGCCGCCUGGCAGGGGUGCUGCUGAUUGGCUAGAGCAGUCAGCUGACGUUCCAAACCAAUCCGUUGCUCCCGAUUAAUAAAAAAGGUAUGUUGUGGAAGACAACCUUUGAGGUUAAACUGCUUCAGAAUGGUUUAACCUCUUCAAGUAAGAAAGCACCUUGGACCACCUGCUGCCAAGAGUGUUCCAUAAAAAUGCGAGUGUGCGCAGCAGCCAGCGUAAUUGAUCCUGCACGAGACUUCAGGUGCUGGACCUAUUGGUUGCACUCCUUGCAACCAAUAAGAUAUUUGUAAAACUCCUUACACUAUGUCCUUUCCCUUUAAUGGAGACUUCUCCCAAUCUACUAUUGCCUGGUGGCAAACGCUUAGACUCAUUACCAAGCUCUUGAGAGUUAACAUCAUUGUCUACAGUUGGGGACCGGCACGCAUACUGAAUGCCCACCAAGGCGACAAACAACUCCUGGUCUCGCAUAUUUUGUGGCAAAUACCUUUCUUGCAGCUUUGGGACUUUCGUGGCCCACUGUAGCCUCUUCACUGAGUGACCAAAGUCUCAGCAAGUCAUGCUGGAAUGCGGAUAUUAUCCUGCAGUUCUACCCUGCAUGAAAAUUUCUGAACAUUAACCAGCUAUGCCAAUUACCUGAGUUGGACGGACUUAAUAGUUUAUUUAAAGCCACUUGUCUUACUAACAGUUGGUUUUUACUAGUUGGUUAAAAUGAUUUUUCUUUUAUUUCAUAUUAUUGUUUAUGUCUAUACGGACAAGCAUUAUAACUGUAGGAUAUGUGUCAUCCUUCCCAUAUUGCUUCUCCUUUCCAAGUAACCAGAUUACACUACGCAGCAUGUACCUAGGUCUUUAAGUGUGAUUUACUGCUAUACACAGUAAGCUACUUGUUUUCUAAAUAAAGUGUUGCUGCUAGCUUGUUUUUACUAGCAUUUAUGUUAAAGAGCCAGUGUGUUUAAAAUGUAGUAUGUUUUACAUGUGUCUCUCACAGCAUAUUUUGUAAUGCCAUGAUACUACAAUGAAAAAUACAUAUUAAAAAGAAAUUGUGACAAAUAAUGAAUUUUGUAUUUUUAUAUUAUCAAAAUAGCAUCAUGCAUGAAUAGUGAUGUCCCGAACGGUUCGCCGAAUGGUUCGCCACGGACGGCGAACAUAUGCGCUGUUCGGUCCGCCCCCUAUGUCAUCAUUGAGUAAACUUUGACCCUGUACCUCACAGUCAACAGACACAUUCUAGCCAAUCAGCAGCAGACCCUCCCUCCCACACCCUCCCACCUCCUGGACAGCAUCCAUUUUACAUUCAUUGUGAAGCUGGAUUCUUAGUGAGCUGUCCAGGAGGUGGGAGGGUCUGGGAGGGAGGGUCUGAUGCUGAUUAGCUGGAAUGUGUCUUCUGACUGUGAGGUACAGGGUCAAAGUUUACUCAAUGAUGACAAAUAGGGGGCGGACCGAACAGCGCAUAUGUUCGCCAUCCGUGGCGAACCGUUCGGCGAACCGUUUGGGACAUCACUAUGCAUGAAUAAUAUGCAAUUGUAAAAAUAUAUAAGAACUAUUGUAAUAGAAGACUAAUAUUAAAAAAAAUAAAGUAUAUUUUUCUUUUCUUUACAGGAUUGCAUAUGAAUACUCAAGGAGAAACCCGCGUGAUACUAUAAAGUCUAUCUUUACCUUUGCUACUAAACUGAACAAAUCUAUUGUCUCUUGCUGUACUACAAGUGAUACAAAACUGUGCCUUUCAGACUUUUAUGAACAUUUUCCUGCCUGAACAUUUUGUUACUUUUCAUUUAUCAAUAAAAAAAAUUCUCA